AGAAAAAAAACCAAAAA
rnacentral:sRNA from 1 species